AAUAGACCUCUUGCACCGUGCGGAUAGCAGGAUUCUUGUAGUCCGACAACGCUGCAAUCCGCCAUAUUGAGAAAACCACACCCUUUUUUAACACUGUCUCUUAUGGAAGUAUUUUUUCAAAGUGUUUUUUCUCUUAACUGGAUAACAACUUCGACCAAAGAAAAGUAUUGAAAAAUACUAUAUCAUUCAGGGCAUAUGGGCAUUGUUUACAUACUAUAUUGUCAUGUGUGACGAGGUAUUGGUGCGGCUGUGCUAGAAUUUACGAUACUUCACGGACAUUUUUGCGACGGCCUGGCAGCCGUCGAAGCGAAAAAACAUUGCUUUGCUUGUUUCUGCUAUGUUCUGCACGAACAUCGUCUUUACGUAUGUCUCUUGGAAUAGGGGUAGAUACAUGAAAUUUAGAUCUGUCACCGGGUUUUUUACCACCAACUUGAUCGCAUCAUUCUUCAAAGAA